rnacentral:rRNA from 1 species
GCGUUGUUCGGAUUUACUGGGCGUAAAGGGCGCGUAGGCGGCCAGUGCAAGUCAGUUGUGAAAUCUCCGAGCUUAACUCGGAAAGGUCAAUUGAUACUGAUGUGCUAGAGUGCAGAAGGGGCAAUCGGGAUUCUUGGUGUAGCGGUGAAAUGCGUAGAUGUCAAGAGGAACACCUGAGGUGAAGACGGGUUGCUGGGCUGACACUGACGCUGAGGCGCGAAAGCUA